UCUUUGUUGGCGAUGUUCUUUUGCCUGUAUUUCUGGUGAUUGCUUGGAUGCCAUCAGCAGAGCCAAUGCCUUCUUUUCCCAGGCAUUUACCAAGUCUCAACAUUUUAAGUUUGGGUAAUGAAUUUUUUGGAGAUUGGAUGGGUGUGGCACUUGUUUUGCACUAAACUCAGUAUAAGUACUGCAGUAGUUGUUGAUAUGAGUAUUUGCUUGAAGAUUUUAAUUCACUCUCUAUUUAUUAGGAUUACAUGCUGUGCCCAUAGUUUGUUUUCUUUUGUAAAAAUUGCAGAUCCCAUUCCAGCUUGGAUUGUCAAAAUUGGAUCUACGGAAGGUGGUGAAAUCCAGUUUAUCUGGGGUUGACAAGUCCAUCACUGCGAUGUAUAAGAAAUUGCAAAAGAACCUAACCUCAGAGGAGGUUUUGCCUUCUUUGUGGGAUAAGUGCAAGACAAGAAAUGCAAUAGGGUUAGUUGCUCCAGCUAUUGCCGCGAGUUUAGGUGACACAUACAUUGGGCACCCUUGUCCCUGUGAUAGGAGCAAGUGGAUUUGCUACAACUGCAACUGCAACUGCUAUAGGAACUAUUGUCGGUAGUUUUAGAUAAUCUCUUAAUAGUUGUCGAUAUGUUUAGAAAGUUAGAUAUGCAUAGUUUUGGAUGGUUUAAAUUUUUUGUACAGUUUAGAACUUAAGGAUAUAGUUUUCGAAUGUUUGGAA